UCUUACGGCCGUUUUCAAUAACGUAUCUGAGUUUUCGGAUAGAUAGCUAUCUCCGAAUAUCAGCAAGAGCGUAUCUAUCCUUAGUUUGCGUUUCACAAUCACGGAUAAGUGCUAUCUCUCUUUAACCAACAGUAGAUAGCUUCUUCCCUCCGAUUUAUCUGAGCCUCUUGAUACGUUUCGUUCUACUUCAAAUACGAAACAACAUCAGGAUCAAGACUUAUUUUAUUUUAUUCUAAAUUAUAACUAUAAUUUAACCAGCAUAUUGUAGACUAUCAUAAACACAUUUGUUUAUAACAAAAAGUAAUAAAAACAUAUGUAGAUUUUUUUAAAUUGGACGUAUUGCUAUUUUUAUCCUAGUCGAAAUUAUGAAACGAAACGUUUUGACAGUCCGUUUGCCAAUAAGCAGUGAUCAGUUUCUUUUGUUUGUUUUUCUAUUGUUUACCUACUAUAUUAGAUGAUGACUUACCUCCAAAACGCUUUAAAACUUUCGUUUAUAAUUCUAAGUGUGCUUAUAAUUAAAGAGCUACAGUGAAAUAAAAUGAAUUCUGUAAGUAUCUAUGAACUACAUUGAUAAUAAUAAUUUUACUUUGAAAACUUUGAGUUCAAGUUUAGAAAAUAUAUCUUUUUCAGUCAAGAAAGGCAGCACCCAUGACAAAAGAUGAGACGAUGAUUCUAGCAGAAUUUGUGGCGGCGAAAAAACAUUUCAAUAAUAAGGCAACAAAUGCCACAAACAAUAAAUUGAAGGAGCAGGCUUGGCAAACCCUUGUAAAUGAUUUUAAUUCGUCGAUUCGUCGUUUCCCACGAACUCCAUCGCAGCUUCGACUAAAAUGGGAAAACUUAAAGAACGCUACGGCAACAUAAGAAACAACCUUAGUAAGGCUGGAGGUGGUAAGGAUUGCAGAUGAAAUUUUGGAUAAAGCAUGCACAUUGUUGUAGGUCACACAUAAUAUUUUUAACACUUUUACAGCCAAGCGGAAA